AAUGAACGCUGGCGGCAGGCCUAACACAUGCAAGUCGAACGGAUCCUUCGGGAUUAGUGGCGGACGGGUGAGUAACGCGUGGGAACAUACCCUUUGGUACGGAAUAGCCUCGGGAAACUGGGAGUAAUACCGUAUGUUGGCAAGAAACGAAAGAUUUAUCGCCAAAGGAGUGGCCCGCGUUGGAUUAGGUAGUUGGUGGGGUAAUGGCCUACCAAGCCGACGAUCCAUAGCUGGUUUGAGAGGAUGAUCAGACACACUGGGACUGAGACACGGCCCAGACUCCUACGGGAGGCAGCAGUGGGGAAUCUUAGACAAUGGGGGAAACCCUGAUCUAGCCAUGCCGCGUGAUCGAUGAAGGCCUUAGGGUUGUAAAGAUCUUUCAGGUGGGAAGAUAAUGACUGUACCACCAGAAGAAGCCCCGGCUAACUCCGUGCCAGCCGCCGCCGUAA
rnacentral:rRNA from 1 species